UCUUCCAAUUAUUGUGAAACCUCCUUGCGGACCAGUUCCUUAACAUUGACUGAGUGGGCAGGCGACCUUACACAUUUAAAUGAGUUUGAGGGACAGUGGAAGAGGCUUGACUAAUUGUUGGAAGCCAGAUGUUGAAACACAAAAGAGAAAAGCAGGGAGAGGGAGGGGGCUGAACGGAGAGGGGUGGGCGUAAAUCCCUGCAUUUGGAAUUGGGGAAAUGCACAUCAGCUCUGCUGAAAGCGGCGGCAGGAGCCUGGGAGAGAGUGAUUUAACUCAUUGUGAUGCACAGUGCGACUUGCUCUCGUUUGAGAGAGAGAGAGACAGGCAGAGAGAGAGAGAAAGGCACGCUCUACUGAACUGGGAGCAUCUGACUCAGAAUGAGAGAAUGCGAUGCGCUCACACCGCUAUUCCAGCAUUUCGCUCAGACUGUGCAGACUGUUGGCGAUAGCCCUCCGUCACUACAAGCCAACACAUGCUUUUUCUGCUGUCCAAAGUUAUGGAUGUGGGACAAGUAUUGAAGUGAAGACGGCGGUCUAAUCAGAAGGCGUUGACUCAUUGACGGUUACUGUUCGGCCGUGUGUUCUGCCCGCCACCUCUCUCCGUCCUGAAGGCCGUGUUGCUGCUGCUUUGUAGGCAGCCGCUUGCUUCAACGUCCUGCGUGGGCCCUACAGCUUGGAUCAGGCCGUCAAUGCAAAGCCCUCUCUCAGCAGCCUGUAGCCCCCAGCGUUUAUGAAAAGAGGAAGAGAGAAAAAAAAGAGACGCCAGAAUGAUUUUCAAAGGCUUUUCUUCAGUCGGGACUGAAAGUACAGCUGUGUAAAGGCUAUGGUGGGUUAAUCCGUGGACACUCACUCUUGAAGAUCACAGAUGACUGAUGAAUCCUUGACUGAAGCCCUAAAGGGUGACCUGUGUCCAUGGUCUUUCAGAAAGGCAGAGGAGUGGAAAAUAUAGUUAUGCAGGUACUGGUUGGUUGACUUCCUUUUCUCACAGGGCCAUCAUUCAUGCAUGAGCUUUAUGUACAAAUACAUUGACAUAUCAAAAAUGUAACCAUCUUCAUGGUUGUAAAACAAGUGCAACAAUUUGGAUAUUCACUAAAUCACAAUAAAAAUAAGAAUUUUUGUUUAUAGAUAUAAUUACUAAUGUGUUGUAACAUUUUAAUAAGGAAAAUUUAUUGACAGAUCAACAAAUCGAUAGUUAACAAAAUGAUCCUUCUAAUGGACAAAUAUAAUAAGCUAUAAGUAUUUUCUUCAUACUUUCACAAUUCUUAACAUUUUCUAAUUUAAAGUCAAGAACGUUACUUUCCCCGCGUCCUUUAGGUCUACCUAAGAAAAAUACUUCUGCAGGGCAAUGGGCAGUGGGGUGCAUCUGUGCAUAAAUCAUUGCUUCUACCUCAACUUGAGCCGCGCAUGCAGUUCUGGCCACCUCAUUACAAAAGGACAGAAUUGUUCCCAAGAGGACAUUCACAUGGAGAUUCAUGAGGAUGUUGCCAGGACAUUUAAAAAUGCAGCAAAGAGGAAAGUUUGCAUAAGCUGGGGUUGUCUUCCUUGGAACAGAGGAGGUUGAGGGAAGAUUUGUUUGAGAUGCACAAAAUUUUGAGGGGCCUGCAUAGUGUGGAUGGGAAGGACUGAUUUAUGGAAUCUAUUUAAACGGUGGGAUAAAAAGACGCUGUUAUCUGUUUGCCUCCAUCAAAAACAGUUAUUGGCUCAGGACAAAGAGGACAAAAGUCAAUUCUAUAUUAACUAACCACUACCUUUAUUAGUUUAGUUAAAGCACACAAUUCACACUAUUUGCUUAGAAAAAGGUUAACAACAAGCAUGCAAUUCAUCACCACACACUAAGCUUGAUGUUCCCAGAACAGUCAGCAAAAUAAAUGCUAAUACCAAAGAAUAGAAGAUGAUGCUGGCCAAGCCCUUCUUCCAGGUUUUGGAGGUCUUCUCCAACCAAGUGCUGGUUCACAACUUUGCAAAGGUUGCCCUCCAGAGUUUUCAUUGAUGGCACUCUGAAAUCCUUCAAUUUUAUCCUUUUCCCUUAUCUUCCCAAACUGUGGUGUUUUGUUCUUGUUGGUUCUCAACUCAUCCAAAUGCUGGUGUCUUUCCACCGUAGGCUUAUUCCAAGGACACUUUUGGAAUUAUCUCAUUAUUCUUCCACCAAAUAAGGAUUUCGCAGUUAUGUCAUCACUCAGAGCUGGGCCUGGACAAUCUAGUCUGAGCCAACCGCCGAGGCUCAGGCAAUUUAACAAACUUAUUGGAAUUUAUUUUAAAGACAUUACUAACUUACUUGAUUUCAUCGGUGCAUGAGUAAAGAAAUGGACUGCGCCUGACAAAGGAGCGUUGCUACAAAAGCUUGUGCGAUUUCAAAUAAACCUAUUUGACUAUAACCUGGUGUGACUUCUGACCUAGUCCACCCCAGUCUGACAUUAGUGCCUCCACAUUGUGAAUAAAGAAAUCGUCACUGAGGAAGGAUUGUAUUUUCUAUCAAAUAUGGACAGGUUCUGUUACAUGCAGAGUUAAACCCAAGACAUAAUAGUCGACAUUGAUCAAAGAACGAUUUUAAUUGUUUAUAACAAGCAUAAACUUCACUUAAUAUUAAUGGCUAGAUUAAAGUUGUGUUGCCAUUAAACACACAAUUUUAUAAUGAUUUACUUUAACAAAAUAAAUUUGAGUUUCCAGAAAGACCAUGAGGGUUGUACAUUUGUAUGAAACACAUAUAGUUGUAGAACAAUGAUGCCACUGUGUUACGUGGUUUGAAGAUUUCAGGGAGAAAUCUUCUACUAUUUAUUUAUUUCUACAAUUAGCAUUUUCACCUUGAAGUCAGUAUGUUGCGAGUUCAUGCUCCAUCUCUCACUUGCACGUAUGAUGUCAACCGAAAUUCCAGCGCAAUUCUGAGGAAACGUUGCAUUGCUGGAACUUCUUUGGACAAGAAGUUAAGGCUUCAUAUUCCAUUCACAUGGAUAUUGGAGACAAAAUUUGAAUCAGAGCAGUCAAAAAUAAGAAUGUGAGGACUGGAGUAGGCUAUCUAGCCUUUUGAAUCAGUCUGCCUGUUAUCUAUGUUAAAAUAUGAAUUAAAGUAUAACUAGAAACAAGUUAAUGGCUAAUCAUGACAUUGAUUAUCAGAUUUGUUGAUUAUCAGAUUUUCUUGUCUGUAAUACAGCAUCUGCAACCUGCACUUUACAGUGAGUUACUUUACAAAAGGUAUUUUGUGCCAUUUCCGAGUUUCAAUGUAAUGCAUCUGUCUACAGUACUACAUAAAUUAAAAGUGGGAGUAUCAAAUCCAAUAAGUGACACCUUCUAG